UACGUAGGGUGCAAGCGUUAUCCGGAAUUAUUGGGCGUAAAGAGCUCGUAGGCGGUUUGUCGCGUCUGCUGUGAAAACUGGAGGCUCAACCUCCAGCCUGCAGUGGGUACGGGCAAACUAGAGUGCGGUAGGGGAGAUUGGAAUUCCUGGUGUAGCGGUGGAAUGCGCAGAUAUCAGGAGGAACACCGAUGGCGAAGGCAGCUCGCUGGGACGUUACUGACGCUGAGACGCGAAAGCGUGGGGAGCAAACAGG
rnacentral:rRNA from 1 species